rnacentral:rRNA from 1 species
ACGUGAUCUGAGUUCAGACCGGAGUAAUCCAGGUCAGUUUCUAUCUAUAAAAAGUCUUUCCUAGUACGAAAGGACCGGAAAGACAAGGCCCAUAUCUUAACAAGCCUUACCCACUAAUUUAUGUACCAAACUUAAUAAUUUAUUUACUACCACAAAACUCAAGAUAAGAAA